GACGAACGCUGGCGGCGUGCUUAACACAUGCAAGUCGAACGGAAAGGCCCUGCUUUUGUGGGGUGCUCGAGUGGCGAACGGGUGAGUAACACGUGAGUAACCUGCCCUUGACUUUGGGAUAACUUCAGGAAACUGGGGCUAAUACCGGAUAGGAGCUCCUGCUGCAUGGUGGGGGUUGGAAAGUUUCGGCGGUUGGGGAUGGACUCGCGGCUUAUCAGCUUGUUGGUGGGGUAGUGGCUUACCAAGGCUUUGACGGGUAGCCGGCCUGAGAGGGUGACCGGCCACAUUGGGACUGAGAUACGGCCCAGACUCCUACGGGAGGCAGCAGUGGGGAAUAUUGCACAAUGGGCGGAAGCCUGAUGCAGCAACGCCGCGUGCGGGAUGACGGCCUUCGGGUUGUAAACCGCUUCCGCCUGUGACGAAGCGUGAGUGACGGUAAUGGGUAAAGAAGCACCGGCUAACUACGUGCCAGCAGCCGCGGUGAUACGUAGGGUGCGAGCGUUGUCCGGAUUUAUUGGGCGUAAAGGGCUCGUAGGUGGUUGAUCGCGUCGGAAGUGUAAUCUUGGGGCUUAACCCUGAGCGUGCUUUCGAUACGGGUUGACUUGAGGAAGGUAGGGGAGAAUGGAAUUCCUGGUGGAGCGGUGGAAUGCGCAGAUAUCAGGAGGAACACCAGUGGCGAAGGCGGUUCUCUGGGCCUUUCCUGACGCUGAGGAGCGAAAGCGUGGGGAGCGAACAGGCUUAGAUACCCUGGUAGCCCACGCUGUAAACGGUGGGUACUAGGUGUGGGGUCCAUUCCACGGGUUCCGUGCCGUAGCUAACGCUUUAAGUACCCCGCCUGGGGAGUACGGCCGCAAGGCUAAAACUCAAAGGAAUUGACGGGGCCCCGCACAAGCGGCGGAGCAUGCGGAUUAAUUCGAUGCAACGCGUAGAACCUUACCUGGGUCUGACAUGGAUCGGGAGUGCUCAGAGAUGGGUGUGCCUCUUUUGGGGUCGGUUCACAGGUGGUGCAUGGCUGUCGUCAGCUCGUGUCGUGAGAUGUUGGGUUAAGUCCCGCAACGAGCGCAACCCUUGUUCACUGUUGCCAGCACGUUAUGGUGGGGACUCAGUGGAGACCGCCGGGGUCAACUCGGAGGAAGGUGGGGAUGACGUCAAGUCAUCAUGCCCCUCAUGUCCAGGGCUUCACGCAUGCUACAAUGGCUGGUACAGAGAGUGGCGAGCCUGUGAGGGUGAGCGAAUCUCGGAAAGCCGGUCUCAGUUCGGAUUGGGGUCUGCAACUCGACCUCAUGAAGUCGGAGUCGCUAGUAAUCGCAGAUCAGCAACGCUGCGGUGAAUACGUUCCCGGG
rnacentral:rRNA from 1 species